CCAUGUGACUCCUCGUAAGAGAUUGAGGAUCAUAGAUACUAGAAAAUCCAACUGCCCAGAGACUUUAAAUAUGAAGUGUAUAAGGGUGUAUCCUGAUUACAGUAUGCAUUCAGCAACUGAACACAGGGAUACCAAGGCAAAAAAACAUUUGGCAUUGCCGUGCCCGCCUAAGAGCUACCGACGUUAUUAUUUGACUGAUUUGUUGAAAUUAAUUUCACUGGGACACACAUACCAGGUCAAAUGAAUACUACAUCUUACCCCACAGAUAAAACGAUUUACAGUCACAUUUAUCGGACCCUUUAUGGUACAAAUAAAGUAUUGUUUGACGACACUAGACUGCAGAAUCAGGUUGAUGAGUGGCACAAAGACUCGAGCAAUCACUUGAUUUAUUAUAGACAUUGUACGGGAGCCAAUGGAGAAGUGAAACCAUUACUUUCUUGCUAUCAGAGCAGUUGGCAGAGAGAUCUUUUGAAGAAGUAUGGGGGUAGUUGUUUGUUAGAUGCAGCAUACAAAACAACAACAUAUGAUGAUCCUUUAUUUUUUAUAGCUGUGAAGAGUAAUGUGGGCUAUUUAGUCGUCGUUUUUUUUUUUUUUUUUCCCAUUCAGAUUGAAAAUGCAAGGUCCAUUCAUGAAGCACUAGACAUUUUCAAGGACUGGAACAAGGUUUGGAAUCCCAUCUAUUGGGUUACUGAUUUCUUGGAGUCAGAGAGAAAUGCAAUUGAGCAAGCAUUCCCUCAGACAAAAGUUUACUUGUGCCUUUUACAUCGAAAACAGGCAUGGGGAAGAUGGUUGAAAAAAAAAGGAUAAUCUACGUGUACCAAAUGACAUGAAGACAUUUCUGGAUAUGUGGCAAGAAAUUUCAGAAUCACCAACAGAGAGAGAAUUUAGAGAUCGCGUAGAAGAGUUGCGAAUGCAUGAGGUUUCUCGGAGAAACGAGCGUGCAUGGCCAUACUUUAAACAGCAAUGGCUAAUGGUAUGUGAAAGAUGGGUGAAAGUGUAUGAGGACAAGGGCAGAUUUGCAACCAUUGACACUACAAAUGGAGUUGAAGCCAUGAACAAGGUUGUAAAACAUUUUUUUUCCUUAAGCGCAAUUCAGACAGGACUUUAACUGGGGUUACUAAGGUUACAAUAAACCAGUUUCUUCCAAGCCUAAUUAGAAAAUACUGUAUGCAGAAUUCUGACAUCAAAUCUUAUAACAAAGAUGUUUCUCUGUUUUUGCAUAAAAAAAUCAAACAAGUUUGUGAAACGUGUCAUGCAGCGAUAUGCAUCAGCAAAAGUUGAGUUAACUGCAAGAUCAGUGAGUAGGAGAUCGGAUGGUUCAUUUUGUGUGGAGAGUGCAAAGUCCAAAAACUGUAAUUAUGUUGUAACUUUUGAUAUACGAGAUUGCACAUGUGAAGAUUUUCGGAGAUAUAAAUACCCAUGCAAGUAUUUCUGUGCAAUCUUUAUUUUUUACCCAGAGUGGAGUUUUGAUAAAAUGCCAGAAAGUUAUAAGACUAGUCCAUUAAUCUGUCUUGAUGAAAUGUAUGGGGUGGGCUUUAGAAGUGGCUCUUCAGUAAUUUCAUAUGAAGGCAGUAGUAGUGACGAAGCUGUUGAGGAGGCAGUUAAGGCAUCUGAGGAGGCUGUCGAGGCAUCAAAUACAGAUGGUCUAGUUCAAACCCAGAAUAUUCCUAUGCAGCAGUUUGCAGCAAGGGAGUUGUGUAAACAGAUCUAUAAUCUCACAUACAACUGCAGCAACAGUGAAAAAUUACAGAAAGUACAUGAAUCACUGAGCAACUGUGUGCAAGAUUUGCAAUUAGCAAAUCCUGAAGUUGGUGGUCUCCCAUUAGCAGUGCCAUCAACUUCCAAACAAUAGCAAAGAACGAUGUCAAAAGCCUUACAAGAUCUGUCUUAAACACAUUAAAACUUACCAUUUGAAGGGUGAGAAAUGACUGUUUGUUUCAAUUUUAGAUAGCUCUUUGUCUAUGUAAAAUACAAAUAAGCUCAGUCAUUUCUUAUCCUCGAGAUGGAAUGCUAUGAGGUCUUUAUGUUGGUCUCCGAUUUUAAACUUUGAUGCAAAUUUGAAUUUCGAAGUAGCAAUAGAUGAAAUAUUAUAAAAAGGAUAGUUGCUACAUGUGUGUGUGAGUGACUGAGUGAGUGCACGCGCGCGCUUUUGAAAAGGCCCUUGUUGCCCGAAAGAUAAUUCCAACAAUCUUUUUGUUGUGCCUUUGUGACUCAGCAUCUUCACUAUUUGGUGAGCAGCAACAACUAUCCUUUUCAUAAUAUUGUUACAUUCCAUCCUGGAUUUUUCACUGUUCAUCAGAGAAAAGAUUUUUCUGAGGAAUUAAACUAGAUGGUAGUGUAGAACUUGCGAACUUUUUAAAAUAUGAAGUAAAAGAUUUUAACUUUAAAUUAGGUUAAUUCAAAUAUGGGACAAUGUUGGGAGUUGAAAAGGUGGAAAAAAUAAAUAAGAUAUAUCUUAGUGGCAUUGAGAUGACAUAUGAGUGAUGGAGGAAAGAUUUUGCAUUUCUUUUUCCAAGUAAGAAUGCACUUGCUCUCACUUGCUUCAAUACAUGUAUAGUGAUUCAUGUGAAACAGAGAAAAAGAUAAAGACUGCCCUGUUAAUGAACACGUGAGAUUGCCCAGUAUCACUCUGACAGAAGAGUAUAGUGUUUCCUUGAUGUGGAAUCUGGUCAGCAACAUCAUUGGGACCAAUGAAAUACCACGCAGAAGCAAUUACUGUUACUGGAAUACCAGUAAUGUUCAUUAAAUUCAGUUCUAAACUAGUUUUGGGCAUUGCACCUGGUGAGCAAUGUCAUCGGGCAGCAAAAGAAGUUCAGUUAUGAUGGAUUUCUGGCCUUCAGUCCAUGGGAAACUUCACACCAAGAUUGCAUCAAGACUGUUAUACUCCAAGGAUAUCUUGGAAGAUUGAUAGUAUUCCUGAAGGAAAACAAUCCAUAUAGUGUUUCACGUGUGUAUCAAACUGCCAUUUGUUGUGGCACAUAAAUGUUUCCAACUUGACUGUAAUUUGUGAACAGUUUCUCAACAAUCCAAGAAUUUCUUGUAAUUAGAAGUAGACAUUGUUGCUUGGUUAAAAGAAGUACCUUAUUAACUUUCCACAGAGAAAUAUUUUUCACUACUGCUACUUAAAAAUUCAAAUGUGUGACAGUUUGCUUACAGAACUUGGCAUAAAGAUCUCCCUUACUUGUAUUUUUAGAUAGCUCUUAUUGUUUGAUCCUUCAAAUGGAAUGCUAUGACCUCCAUGUGAUCUAUUCCUUAAUAGUUAAUUAUCCAUUAAGGCACAAAUAUAUGAACAUUACAAUGAGAGAGGUCUUUAUGCCAGGCCCUGUAAAAGUAAUGGCAUCUUACUUAAUAUUAUUGUUGGCAUUUGAUGGCACAGCUGUUUGGAGACCACAAAUUUGAGGGUUUGCUAACUGCAAAUCUAGCACACAGUUGCUGAGUGAUUAAGUACUUUUCAUAAUGUUUUACUGUUGACACAGUUGUAUGUGAGAUUAUAAACCUGUUUGAACAACACCUUCACUUCAAAUUGCUGCAAAGAAAUGGUUAAGGUAUCAGUUGAUGCUCUAUGUGUGUUUCCUCAACUGUGUCCUCAUUGCUACUGUCUUCAUGCGAAAUUACUGCAGACACACUUCUGAAACCAAACCUGUACAUCUCGUGAAGACAGAUUAAUUGGCUAUUCCUGUGGCUUUCUAGUAUUUUAUCAAAACCCCACUCUGGAUAGAAAAUAAAGAUUGCACAGAACUGUUUGCAUGGGUAUUUAUAUAUCUCAAAAUCUUCACAUGCGCAGUUUGGUAGAGCAAAGCUUACAACAUAAUUACAGUCUUUGAACAUCGUACUCUCCAUACAAAACAUUGUCCAACUUCACAUUCACUAAUCUUGCAGUUAACUCAACUUUCCCUGGUGCAUAUCACUGCAUGGAAUGUUUCACAAACUUGCUUGAAAAAAGAAAAUGAAAAAGAAAAAACAGUGGAACAUCUCUGCAGAAUUCUGCAAUCAAAUAAUUACAGACAGUACUUUCUGAUUAGGCUUGGAAGAAAUUGAUUUCUUAUACCCAUAGUAGCCCCAUUCAAGGUCCCAUCUGUAUUCCCUUUUAGGAAAAAAAAUGUUUACAAUCUUGUUCAUGGCUUCAACUUCACUUGUCAAUGGUAUCAAAAUUGCCCUUGUCCUCAUAAGCUUCCACUCUCUUUUCAUGUACCAGUAGCCACUGCUGUUAAACGUACGGUGAUGCAUAUUCAUUUCUCUGAGAAGCCUCACUAUCUCUUCUGUAUGAUCUGUAAAUUCUCUGUUUGUGAUUCUGAAAUUUCUUGCCCCAUGCCCAGAAAUCUCUUCAUGUCAUUUGGUAUAUAUUCAGCCAUCUUCCUCAAACCUGUUUCAGACUGAAAAGGCACAAGUAAACUUUUGUGUGAGGGGAAAUGCUUGAUGAGUUGUGUUUAUCUCAGACUGUUGAGAAAUCAGUAACCCAGUAGAUGGGAUUCCAAUCCUUGAAAAUGGCUAGUGCUUCAUGAAUGGAUCUCGCAUUUCAAACCUUGAAUGAAAAAGAAAACCAAAUAACCCACAUUACUCUUUGCAGCUAUAAAAAAAAAGAAAGGCAUAUCAUGUGUUGUUGUUUUGUAUGUUGCAUAUAACAACUAUCCCUGUACUUCUUCAAAAGUGAUGGUUUCACUCCUCCAUUGGCACCUAUGCCAUGUUUGUAAUAAAUCAUGUGAUUGCUUUAUUCCUUGUGCCACUCAUCAGCAUGAUCCUGCAAUCUAGUCUCGUCAAACAAUGCUUUAUUUGUACAUUACAAGGUCCAAUAUGUGUGAAUAUAAUUUUUUCAGUGGGGUAAAAUGUAGUAUUCAUUAGA